ensembl:lncRNA
AUUUUGGAAGAUGAUUUGAAAUCGUGGAGCUAUUGAAUACACAUCGCCCCGUGAUCAAUUUGAUAGAUUAUUAACGUUUACUGAUACCUAAAGUUGGAUUACAAAAGUAUUUCGAAGUGUUUUGUGAAAGUUUAUCGUCAACUUUUUUAAUUUUAAAAAAUGACGUAGCGUUUUCAAACGGUGUUUUUUUCUGAAUCACACAGUUUCCAUAGAUGGCUAUUUUGGGUAUAUAUGGACCGAUUUAAUCGGAAAAAAAGACCCAAUAGUGAUGUUUAUGGGACAUAUAGGAGUGCCAACAAAGAAGCUCGUCAAAGGGAAAGUCAUGUUAGCUGAUAUCUGAUAGCUAAUAUCAUCCUUCUCUUGGGUGUUGUCUACUUGUGGACCCUGGGGAAACGCCAGCAUGAAGGCAUGAACGGCAACGGAGAUGCUCUGCAGCACUGACCGCGUUCAGAGGAAUAAUCCAUCUCUAUUCCAUCUGCCGCCUUUUUCACCUCGCUUUCCCAGACGAAAAUGGACAAAUAUAUAUCCUGAGCCAGAGAAAUGGAGCUAACAGUCCUGCCUCUCUGUUGCUCUCUCUCUCACGCACAUGCUUCACACUUCCAGGGCUGAGGCCACAACUCUUCUUCUCCUGCCACUGACAUUCUGG